CAGCUCCGCUUCAAGUAUCAGCGUGUUUCCAACGCUUCGAGACCCACGAGCCCCGCGCAGCCGGAGUCAGACCCCGCGCACGGCUCCACCAAGUGUUGAUGUUGUUGGAUAGCAACACGCCAUGGUAACUGUCCGCAACCGCCGUCACCAUCGCUAUCCCGCCGUCUUGAAGGAGGCUCGAGGCGUAAAGGAGAGAGAGAGCGCGGGAGAGGAGAAAGGAAGAUGUCGGCAGGCAGAACCAAUACUCAAAGCUCGCGUCUCUUCCUUUGCUGCCAGUAAACCAACUUUAAAAAAUACAUUCGAUACCGGAGUUAAUUUCGCCUCCCGAUCCCCCCCCCCCACCACCUCUACCCAGCCCACCCUUUGCCGGGUCGAUUGAAGGCGUAGGCCAGCGAAGCGUUGCUGUUCAAAUCCUGAACCUGGCUGUCGCUCCAGCAUUCAGGGUGGGGACUGAUACAGGGUGGAGGAGAGUGGCUUGAUGGACCAAGCUAGUGUUCGGACAGCAUUGUUUACACCACAAAGGAUUUAAAAACAAAUUUCGAUUUCUGUAUCGUCGUCGUCGUUGUCGUGUCAACAGUUUUGGGUUGGAGCGGGAUGCGCCAGCCUGUACCUGAAACUAUCAAGAAAGUGUCCCGCGCGCAGGAUGACGCAAGCAGCGCGUGUCAACAUGGCGGCGGCGGCGGAGUGGGGGUGGUGCCUGACAGGCGAUAUUUCACCGGGUGGUGGUACCUUCUAUGAUGUUGGUAUCCAGUGUACAGCAAACUGCCGCCUGAUGAAAAUAGUGGCGUUUUCAUAGCCGUCGUGGCUGUCGUGCGUUUAAACUGGAGGUUGCGUGAGUCAUGCGGCAGUUUUUAGCCUUGACGUAACUGCCGCGGCAGGAUAAGGUUUGGGGGUUGGGACGAUGGGGGGAGAGCCAACUGUUACGGAUGUUUCUCCUGGUGGCAGCGGUACCGCAGACUGGUACGCGGAGGUUUGAUCAUCAGUAGAUGACGUGGCGGCGACGCGACGCGACACGCGGCGUGGAGGCGACGCAGCAUGGUGGCAGAGUGAGGCGCGGGAGGAGCGGGACUUUCAGUUACCAGUGGGUGGAUGGAUGGAAAUACACUGACACGAGAGAGAGAAAGGAGAUCAAACAAACCUUCAGUUGCAAGUGAGAAGCAGAUAUUCAUGGCUACACAACUGUGAACCGAACACCGACGAACAGGAUCUGGUCGCAAGUCCUCUCAUCGACCCACUGCACAUGCGCGAUGACGUAGUUUCAAAGCGUCUGCUUUCACGUCUGCUGCCGCCAGCAGUUGAGGCGUGUCGCCAACGUACUUCUCCGUCCACGGGCGGCCCCGUGCGCUCAAGUUUGCAUAAUAGCGACUGAUCAGCCACAAACCAACUUUGUUGGUGUUUGUGUGUGUGUGAGUUUUUUUUUUUUUCUGCCCUCGACGCUUGGACCAAUGGACGGCUGGAGGCUUAUCAUGAUGCUGACCCCGGAGCUCUUGAGUAACCGAAAUAAUUGUCCUGCGAGCAGGACAAACUGUGGACCUGUCACACACCAUAGUCUGUAUAUGAGGCGGGUUCAGACUCACCCUUCACAGUUGCUUCACACCAUCGUUUGGCUUUGUAAAGGUUGGCCCCAGCAAAACUACAGCUCAGGCUGACAUGUAAGGAUGGAAACACCUGACUGCUGUGUCACGAUCACUGGAACACCUGGUUGUGCAACGAUUACCUGAACACCUAGCUUCCGUCCCAGGUUGGUGGGCUGAACUGGGUUACCGUGCAGUCCUGCUGAUCGAUAGAUGGGUGGUUCCUUCUCCUUGGCUGCUUGCAAUGCCACUUCAGGUACAGUAACUCAUUGAAUCCGUUGUUUUGUCGUUGUGUCUGGUCCCGCGAAUUUUCUUGU